rnacentral:rRNA from 1 species
AGCGAACGCUGGCGGCAGGCCUAACACAUGCAGGUCGAACGAACUCUUCGGAGUUAGUGGCGGACGGGUGAGUAACACGUGGGAACGUGCCUUUUGGCUCGGAAUAACUCAGGGAAACUUGUGCUAAUACCGAAUGUGCCCUUCGGGGGAAAGAUUUAUCGCCAUUAGAGCGGCCCGCGUCUGAUUAGCUAGUUGGUGAGGUAACGGCUCACCAAGGCGACGAUCAGUAGCUGGUCUGAGAGGAUGACCAGCCACACUGGGACUGAGACACGGCCCAGACUCCUACGGGAGGCAGCAGUGGGGAAUCUUGCGCAAUGGGCGAAAGCCUGACGCAGCCAUGCCGCGUGAAUGAUGAAGGUCUUAGGAUUGUAAAAUUCUUUCACCGGGGACGAUAAUGACGGUACUCGGAGAAGAAGCCCCGGCUAACUUCGUG